rnacentral:lncRNA from 1 species
UAAAGAAUAUUAUGACUAAGAUAAUAUACAACAAAUUAUCGUUAGUCUUCAACAGGGAAAAAUCUGAUAAAAUAUAAUAGACAACAAGUUUUAGAUCAACAAGUGCAGCGGAACAGCAAUCCAUUAGAAGAGUCACGUAGAGAAAGAAUUCUACUGUCUUCUAAGGUUUAAAAGUCCAUCAUCAAUAUUUUAUCCCCGUAACAACAAUCAAUAUACAUCUUUAAUCAUCU